AUUACAAAGCAGACUGUCAGAGUAGGUACUAAUGCAAUUCUAACAAAAAAUAUAACUCCUGUACAAUCGAUCUGCAUGUACACAGUAUGAAUUUAUAUAGACUAGUACAAAACAUAAAAAAGAGUUGGCACAUUAUACUGUGCUUUGCUGAUAACAUGGUAAUAGUGAAUACGGUUAUUUUAAUGGAACGUUAAUACAGCCAAGCUCGCUAUAUAAUUAGCUGUAUGAAUUCUCAUGAUUCGAUGUGUUAAAGAGUUACUUUGGCUGCCUGAGAAUUAUGAGUGUUGUUGCAAGCUUAACUGCUCCUGCGUUAUAGCCUGACUUCUCCUGCAGAAGUAGGGGAGGCAAGGAGCAAGCUGUAGUGGUUAUGGUGCUUGGAGUGUUACUUUAAUAAUGAAAUCCUUACAUUGUCAACAUGAAAAUUAUCCAAUUAAAAGGCAGUUAUUGAUUAGUAUGUUAUAGUGUGUAUACC